AGAAAGGACAGUGCGUUAUCUCCUUUUAUAUCUAAAGUCAGAGUUUUCGUUGCAACCUAAUGAUAUCAUCAGUAAAAAAGGACGAGAGUUACCUUCUUAGACAUAACCUCCAUAUUUCACAAAAUAACUUAGACACGUAAAACCAAAUGUUACAAUUAGUUGUUCGAAUCCUCUGUUUGUGGAUGAAGGUGAUAAU